UAGUGACUAAAAAUAUAUACCAGUGGAUAAAUGAAGUCAGGGAUAUACUUGAAAUUUUUUCUGCCAGAGUAGAAAUGACUCCAAAAUAUAUGAUAAUGCAGCUUUCAUGUAAUCCUAGCUACUGGGGAGGCUGAGGCAGGAGUAUUGCUUAAACCCGGGAAGCGGAGGUUGCAGUGAGCCAAGAUCAUGCCACUGCACUCCAGCCUGGGUGACAGAGUGAUACUCUGUCUCAAAAAAAAAAAAAAAGAUAAUGCAGCUUUCAAUAUUAUAAGCUUUAUGUUAUCACACGUCUAAGUGAUAAUCAAAUGUGUUACACCACUUUAUACCCUGAGAUCCAAAAUACAUAAAUAUUUGACAGUUUGUACAAGACUGUAUUAAUAAGAAAAUGUGGCACAUGUAUAAAGAAAGGAACCUCACACAGAUUAAGGAAAAUGACAUUGAUUACAAAUGUCCUCAGCCUGAGUUGGCUGCAUUGCCUUUGUACACUUCAGCCCUCUGAGCUGAAGUGGGAGUGGUUUCUCUCCUGAAAAUGUUUCUGAGGCCCAAAUAGCUGAAGAGGUGGAGACAUUACAGAAACCAACUGAAGUCCCCAGAACUGGCAGACAUCUGCCUGAUGCUGCCAUGGGCCCCCAGCUCCUUGGCUAUGUGGUCCUUUGCCUUCUAGGAGCAGGCCCCCUGGAAGCCCAAGUGACCCAGAACCCAAGAUACCUCAUCACAGUGACUGGAAAGAAGUUAACAGUGACUUGUUCUCAGAAUAUGAACCAUGAGUAUAUGUCCUGGUAUCGACAAGACCCAGGGCUGGGCUUAAGGCAGAUCUACUAUUCAAUUAAUGUUGAGGCGAUUGAUAAGGGAGAUGUUCCUGAAGGGUACAACGUCUCUCGAAAAGAGAAGAGGAAUUUCCCCCUGAUCUUGGAGUCGCCCAGCCCCAACCAGACCUCUCUGUACUUCUGUGCCAGCAGUUUAUCCACAGUGCUGCACAGCCAGCUGCUCUCUGCACAAAAACGGAGGGUAGCUGCAAGAACAAGGAGACUCCUCCUUCAGGAGACCCCUCGCCGACCAACAGGAUAAACUUCCUCCAUCAUCCCACAGAAGCCCUUCCCCACUCACCAGCCUCAGGGACUCUGCAAUGCAGCCACUCUGCGGAACCAGGGGUCCAUCCUCUACCUGCUGUACCAAUGAGGUUUCAAAGUUGGGCGGGACAAGCUCACUGAGUUAGGUCUAGUGCCAGGAUACACUCUCUCACCCUUUCUUCUUGUGGAGCUUAAAUCUUUAAAUUCAACUAAACUGUUGCCCAAACUGAAGACUCCAUUUACAAUCUAAUGGGUCUCAACAAUAUUUGGUUCUGUAUUCCAGGUCCUAUUUAUUCUGGAGGUUUUGUCACUUGGAGGAACACCAUGUUUGGAGUUAUUUAUGAAACCCAGCACCUCCUAUUUUCUUCCUUUCAGCAGAUGGUCCAAAUGCCCAAGCCAGAGAUGCAAGACUGAUCUUCACUCUCUCUCUGACUUUCUCCUUCCACACCGAAUCCGCUACCCUAUCCCGCAUUUUUCUAAGUACUAAAUUCCUCACAAAUUUUACUAACUUUUCUAACUUCACUGAUCUCACCUGGAUCACUUUAGCCACCUUCCAAGUAGCCACCCUACCUGCAAGCCUGCACCUGCCCCCACCCACAACCACUCCCUCAAGCUUAAAACCCUUUGGCUUAUUUCUAUUAACUAGCUAAAGUCUCAAGUUUAUGUUAGUUUGCAAGUCUCUCAGCCCCUCCAUGAUGUGACCUUUGCAUAUCCCCCACCUUUCUAACACUGACUUCCCCUAUCCUUCAACUACCACAACUGCCUGCAUCUACUCCAGAAACAUCCCAUUUCUCGCACGUCCCCAAAUAUGUCCACUGCUGACUCACUCCUGGGUCUUUAUCUACAAUGGUCAGUCUACCCAGAAUACCAUUUCUCUCUCUGGUAUUCAUCUGUUCUUCCAGCUGCUCUUUUUGUGCAGACUGCAGCUGGCUGUGCAGCACUGUGGAUAAACUGCUGGCGCAAAUGUACAGAGAGGUCUGGACUGGGCGACUCCAGGAAUGGGGGAGAUUCUCCUUCAUAGACCAAUUUAGAAGUCACUUCCUCCAAGACGAUUGCCUUGAAUCAUUGACUGGGUUAUUUCUCCGCUGUGUGUUCUUCUAACAGCCUGAACAGAGCUAACACCAACACCGAGACACCACCAUGAACUCACCAGCCAUUGACUUCUCUGUUCUAUAGCUUUUUGCCUCUUUGGAAUAGGUAUGUCAUGGGUGCAGGUAUGACGUCCUUGAACUUGGUUUGCUAGACCCUACAUUAAGCCUUUUUCCGGUGGUUACACAUCAGUAUAUUUCCUAAGUUCUCUCUU